GCGGGUGCAGGUGAUGACAGUUUUUUUCCCCAUCAGAGCGGCAGUGUUGAUUUCUCACUGUUCAAGCCAGAUCGUGUCUGAUGCACCUUG
ensembl:snoRNA small nucleolar SNORD12/SNORD106